rnacentral:tRNA from 1 species
GACCGGGUGGCAGAAUGGAUAUGCGCCUGGGCGUUGCAAGCUAGGAGACGCUGGUUCGAUUCCAGCCCCGGUCU